rnacentral:tRNA from 1 species
CAAAUUAUUUAUUUAUUUUAUUUACAAUAAAAUAACAAUUAUUAAUUUAAUUUAAUUUGA